rnacentral:lncRNA from 1 species
GUUGUGGAGCGGGGUUAUUCGGAUCCGGUUGCGGUUCUGGCUUUGGAUCAGGCUGUGGUGUUGGUUUGGGUUCCGGCUUCGGGUCAGGUUGUGGCGUGGGGUUUGGAUCGGGCUGCGGUUGGGGCUUUGGGUCAGGCUGUGGUGUUGGUUUGGGUUCCGGUUUCUUGUCAGGUUGUGGCGCAGGGUUUGGAUCAGGCUGCGGUUGCGGCUUCAGGUCAGGCUGCGGUUGGGGCUUUGGGUCAGGUCGUGGUGUGAGGUUUGGAUCAGGCUGCGGUUGGGGCUUUGGAUCGGGCUGCGGUUGGGGGUUUGGGUCAGGUUGUGGUGUUGGGUUUGGAUCAGGCUGCGGUUGGGGCUUUGGGUCGGGCUGUGGUGCCGGGUUUGGAUCAGGCUGCGGUUGUGGCUUUGGGUUGGGUUGUGGUGUUGGUUUGGGAUCUGGCUUUGGGUCUGGUUGUGGUGUUGGUUUGGGAUCUGGCUUUGGAUCAGGUUGUGGUUCGGGCUGUGGUGUUGGUUUGGGCCGUGGCUUUGGGUCGAUCACCCUGCCACAGGCAAGGUCAGGAACACUUGCAGCAAGUGUGAGGACUAGGGCCAAGAGGAGAGCGGACCUCAUCGCGCUAGCUGCCACUGGAAUCGUAGCUCUCUGUGUGGUUGCUUGUGCACAGAUGGCAGAGAAGGCAUGGGUGAUUUAUAGGCAUGGAAGGCGAACCGGCGCUUGACGCGCGUCCAUCUCCCUGUGCGUGAUUUUGCCAUGGCACUAGCAGCUUGUGGAUGUGCAAAUCACUGUGCUCCAUUGGUACUUGUUCGUUCGUACGACGUAGACACCCUGUUAGUUGGUGACUAGGAAUUGUUAACGGCAAAGUAUAUAUAUGUUGACGCUAGGUAUCAGAUCACGCGGUUAUAUUAUCUGGUUAAAAGCUAGCAGGCCAGGAAAGAGCAAACCAGCUUGGCGAUCCAUCUUGAGACCUAACUUUUCGAAUUUGCAGUGAAUGCAUAUAUAUACGUCCCACGUAUGUAUAAGCGGAUUAUUAUUUGGGAGGUGAGAGCUAGUGAGAUUAAUAAAGUUGAGGUAAUAGUUGGUUAAAGCAACUUUAGCAGACCUUGGAGUCUCCAUCUCAGCAAUACUCGUACAUGAGGCGCACUGAUGGGCAAAGCAAGAUAAAGAGUGAACACCACUACCGGAUCGAUCAGAACGGACCAGUGACAGUGUGUCAAGUGAGUAGUGGUGCGUACGCGGAGAGAGUUCUGAGUAGCUCUACUCCCUCUAUUCCUUUUUAUCUAUCGCUCGAGCGACAGGUUAAAAGGGCGAGCGACAGGUAAAAAGGGAUAGAGGGAAGUAAGUUUAUCCAUCUUAUAAAAAUAAUAUAUAGUUAAAAUAUUAAUAAAUUCUUCAAUGGAUCGUGUUAUAGCAUCGUAUUGUUCGAAAUAUCUUCGAUCUUACAUCCUCUCUCGUAUCCACAAAGUAUGGAGCCCACUGUCUUUUCAUGAGCUAGCUCGAUCUUUCUCUCUUCUCCGUGUAAGCAAAAUGAUGAGCUGGCUGAGGAUCGAUGUCUCGUUGGAGAAGGCCUGAGGGAUCGGAGGCGCGCGUGCGCGCGCUCUCUGUACUAGCAGCUACCGUUUGUAGCGAUAGAUCAUCCGUAUCAUGAUGCAUCGCGCCGCGCGUGCAUAAAGUAAGAAGCUUCCAUCGAUGGCACGAUGCAUCAUGCAUGCUGAUGGUUUCCUACUUUCCUUUCCCGCCUUUACCUUCGCUUUUCCAUCCAUCCAUCCAUCCAUCCAGCACCAUGGGCCAUCUCAUCUUCCUCAGCAGUAGAUAGCUAGAUCUCCAAUUCCAUGCCGCACUGCACUGCACGCCAGUAUAUCCCAGCUAAUUCUAACAGUUUGUAAGUUGCAUUUGUUACACAGUUUUGCAACCAUGGUACAUAUAUAGGAAGCAUAUGAUCCUGUAUGCCUACGUACCUGUGACGAUAUGAUUGUGAUGGAGAUCACUACCUACAUACUAUAUACCAAGUCACGUACAGUUGCUGGCUAGUAACUAGUAGAUAGCAGCACAGCAUUUCAUCCGAUCCUUUAUUUUCUUUCCUUUACCGGUCUCGGAUCGGAUCGGAUCGGAUCAAAAGGAACCAAGAAAGAGGCCGCCCAGCAGGUGAAGGAUCGGACACCUGGCUCGAUGAUCGUAAAAAAAGGGGGCUAAUUACCAUGGUGUUACAUCGUUGUCAUUAAAUUAUAUAUUCUAUAGGCAAUGCAUGCACUGCAUGCUCUGCACGAACAACACUUGCUAGUGUGUUUCGAUAUAGUGCGCUAGCUAUCUGCAGCCUUCUUUUUUCCAGUUUCUAUUGAAUUAGUAUCUUGCAUGUACAGUUGUAAUUUGAGCUCCCUUAACUGAGUUUGAUGUGCAUGCGGUUUCCCUCUUGCUCUCAUCAGACUAAUCCAAUGCCAAUGCAGUGAUCCACUUUGUGGUCACUGUUUUCCUUUGGGAUUUUUUUUGGACUUGGGACGGACAAAGAAGCUAGCGUCUCUGUCGGCCCAAUUAGUUGUUGGAUUUCACCCACAAAAACUGGCCCUACAGCCCAGAUAACUUCAGCCCAUACAGUUACCUGUUAGUCGUUUUUCUUCUUCUAAUUGGGGAACCGUUAGAAGAACCGAAGAUUGCUCCUGAAUUCUCCAAACAUUCUGCUCGGCAAUACUUUAGUGAAAUCAUCUACAAGCUGAUCUUUGAAAAGAAUCAAACGCACCUGUAGCUGCUUGUUCACAACACGCUUUCAAAUAAAGUGAAAAUUAAUUUUUAUAUGCUUAGCUCUUACAUGAAAAAUAAAAUUUGCAGAUAAAUAAGUUGCACCCACAUUAUCACACCAUAAGCAUAAGCGAGGUAUUUGAUCCGAAAAUAUACCAAGCUCUUUCAAUAGAGAUUCCAGCCAUAUUAUUGCAGCCUCGGUACUUGAUCUACAGUUGCUUACUUCCUAGCACUCCAAAAAAUCAAAUUUGGACCGAAAUAAAAUGCAAAUCCUCCUGUAGAUCUUCUGUCAUCAACACUUUCUGCCAGUCAACACCAAAAAAGGCACUGAUCAAAGUAGAGCUAGACACAUGAAAAUUUGGACCAGUAUCCAACGUAUAUUGAAUAUACAAAAAUACUUUUUUCACAGCUAUCCAAUGAGUAUCAGUGGACACAUGUUGAAACUAAUAUACUUUGUUAACCUAGAAAAUUGGAGAGAAUGCAUGAGCUAUAGUUGCCAUGGUUCAUAAUGAAGUGUAGAAUACUCUAAAACUAGAUAUUUUAGUAUGGUAGAAAUAUAAGAAACUAGAUAAGGAUGAGGAGGGUUCUAGAGUUAGGAUAUUUUGUAUGAAAGAGUGUAGAAGUUGCCACAUGGCUACACCACAAUGAUCAUAAACACCUAUAAAUAGAGGUGCUCCCCUCCCUCCUAGCCAUACCAUGGCAUAAGAGGUAUCAAGUAGGAGAUUGCAAGGUAGCCAUGUAGUGUAGUGGUAUCAUGGUAGGAUAUACACAUAAAGAGUGUGCAAAUGAGUCUUGUAUCAAAUUGAGUCCAUGUUCUCUUAGAUUUGGUUAGUUUAUUUUCAUAGGGUGUGAUUGGAUGCCUGGGCUUGGUUUUGCGUGACUUAGAUCUAAACCAAGCAAAGCAAUUCAUGCAAAAAAAAUAAGCAAACAACAUAUAGAAUAACCAUUAUAAAUGUUUAUUUGCGAUAAUUUGAAACCUAUUGUUUCAAACAUUUAUAUUAUGCAUGGUUUAAUAAAUUACUUUUCUAUAAAGUUGAAGUAGUGCUUCGCGCUGAGCUCGGUAAAGAUGGUGCUGGUGGUUGUUGUUGUAAGGAGUUCUGUAGUUCCGGCCUCCAUUAUGAUUUAAUGUGGCCCUAAAGAUCUGGCUGGUUUUAGCAGAAAUUUUCCAACCAUCAACAUAAGGAAGAGAAUGCAUGAUUGUUCUAUACUGAUCUUUUGGAAUUUUGAACUUGGCAUAGUCAUGCAAUUCCUUAAAGAGAGAAGGAUACGAAGUUGUAGGGACUACCUGCAUGAAUCGUGAACAUUUCACGGGCCCAAAAGUGGUUCCUCAUAAGAUUGGUGAGGUGGGCGAUGUUCAAAGGAACACUAUGGUCAUAGAGUCCUUCAAUGAUACGGGAGGCGGAAGAAAAAUUCAAGCGAAGGCGAGCUUCCCUAUCAGCAAUGUUCAAAUUUGUCAAAACCUCAAUCCCUCUCAACUUCACUUUCCCAGCAGCAGUCAAACGAACAUGUUCUUCAGCAAGGGCAGCAAAGCAGCCUCCCUCCAACUCAAUCUUCCGUACUUUCUUUAUCAGAGAGCGGGCAGCUUUCUUGCUUAUCUCCUUCGCAAGUUCAUAGCUUGCCAGUGGAUCCACCUCACCUGGAAGCAAAAGUUCAGCACCAUCCAUCGUCUACCAAUCAGCUUCAAUCACCAACACAUUAUUAGCCUUGAAUUCAUCCAAAGACAUUGUAUCAUCAGCGAAAACUGCAUGACCUCCAACUGGUUGAAGCAGUACAUACCAAUCAUAUGCAAUGUACGACUUAGCUGUGAAAAACUAAAAACAGGAUUAAAUUGAUUGAGAGCAAACAAUCAUUACAUAUGAUCCACAAAGAAUUUUUGAACAAAAAAAUUAUAAAAGAUCCAAUAGGAAUUACCUGGAGGAACUUGAACUUGGGGUUAACCUGAGCUAUAGGAAGCACAGAUCAUACACCAGUCAAGAACAAAAGCUCAAUCCAUCCUGACAAAAGCUGCAGUCAAGAACCACAUCAAUCAGAAAGGCAUGCACUAGUCAAGAACAGAAGCUGCAGGGCCACAAUAAUUCAUACAUUGAAGCACAAGUUACUACUACCAUGAAUCAUAAUGAAAAAUUAUUUUGCAGAUUUCAAUUCCAAGUAGGAAAAAGGAAUAAAGGGACUGAAACAACAAAUUCUUAUUGAGUUAAUAAAAUAAUUGACUGAGGCAAUAUCUUCACUGAUCCAGCCAGAAACUAAUACAUGUCACUACACACUACUUGUUACAUAAUGCUAAUUAGGAUAUCAAUGUCCAACAAGCCGUUGGCUUAAAUCUCACCCAGCCAACUACAUAUACCAACUGGACAGAACACACAAUUUAUAGAAAUAUGCAAAUUAGUUGUGUACCUUUAGGAGCCAUUUGAAUAUCUCAGAACUCUCUAACUUUCUCCUGGACUGCACAUAGAUAAAGAUCAUCAUGUCAGGUGGAGACAUCAAUGAGCUUGCACUAAGAGCAGUUUAUACUAUAGAAUAGGAAAAGGCUGGAAGGUAACUAUCAAAUACUUAAGAGUAGAAGUAUAUUCAGUUAAUCAAACAUAGGAUAUAAGAUACACGAUAUCAGAUACUGAAAUAUUCAGGGAUGACUGAAAUAUUGCAAAAGAUUCAGAGAUGAAACUGACACACCAUUUUUCUGCUAUAAGCUGCAAUUUUGUCUAGAGAUUAGCCAAAUUGAAAAAUUAGGGAACUAAUUUUAAAAUCCUCAACAUCACCAAAACUAAAUCACUCCACAGCACCAAGUACAUAUGGUGAGCACAGAGCAGCGACAGGAUUACAUUACGAGGGGGAAGCAAAAGCAAGCAAUGAUAAGGUAGUGUUGUUACUUGUAAGUGUGUAGGAUUAGGAUGUCAUGAGCGACUGUUUUUUUCAUUUGUUUCGCUAUUCAUCUUUUCUACAAAUAUUUUUGCAAAUAGAUAAAUCUACAAGUUAAAUUUAAAGUACAUUUGACAAUAGAUAUAAUGAUACUCAUUUUACUUUAAUUAACUAACUUGUUCAAUAGAUAUUCAUGGUUAAAGUUAGGUAAAAAGUUAACGGCGUUAUAUAUUUAAGAACGGAGGGAGUAUACAGUAGCAGCAUUUCAUCCUAUCCUUUAUUUUCUUUCCUUUACCGGUCUCGGAUCGGAUCGGAUCAAAAGGAACCAAGAAAGCUAGAGGCCGCCCAGCAGGGUAAAGGAUCGGACACCUGGCUCGAUGAUCGUAAAAAAAGGGGGAUAAUUACCAUGGUGUUACACUCGUUGUAAUUAAAUUAUAUAUUCUAUAGGCAAUGCACAUGUCGUUCCAUACUGCAUGCUCUGCACGAACAAAGCUAGUGUGUUUCUAUAUAGUGCGCUAGCUAGCUAUCUGCAGCCUCGAUCAUCUUGCCUUCUUUUUUCCAGUUUCUAUAUUGAAUUAGUAUCCUGCAUGUAACAGUUGUAAUUUGAGCUCCCUUAACUGAGUUUGAUGUGCAUGCGGUUUCUUCCCUCUUGCUCUCAUCAGACGACUAAUCCAAUGCCAAUGCAGUGAUGAUCCACUUAGCAUGUGUUUGGUUCCGGGCAUUGGAUGGGACGGGAUGGGACGGUCCAUAAAUGUCCUAGUGUUUGGUUAUGAAUCGUAGGGGACAGGGACAUCCCGAAUCGGGAAUAUACCCCAAAUAUGCGGGACAACCCCAUCCGGUAAAAACGAGCGGAUGGGGUCAUCCCGGUUCCUCGUCGCCCGUGCACGUGACCCGCACGUGAAAAACGCUUCACCGCCCACCGCUCCCCUCCUCCCGUCCGCGGAAAAAUCCUCCCGUCCCGCGGAAAAAAAACAGUGCCCACUCCUCGAGCGGAAAAAAGCGACGGCGCCGCGCACCGACCAUCUGGACGGCGUCCGCAGAUCCGGGUCACCGGCCACCGCUCCGGAUCCUCCUGGCGGCUCCGACUCCUCCUGGCUGGCACGCGCACUCCGCGGAGGUCUCGUACGCGGCCAUACGCGCGGAGGCCUCGUACGCGGCCAUACGUGCGGCGGCCGGCCUGGCUUGUGUCGUCACGGUCGGUCAGUUGCCGCUGCCGGGAGCGGGAAGGCCGGGAUCUGACGCGGCUGACUUGCUCCGUACUCGUCGCUACGCAUAACGCCGGGUAGGUGACGGGCAGCUGUGAGAUUUGUUUUGGUGCGACCAUAUUUAUGCCCUCUUGAAACUCAUGUUCAGAUCCUGCUGUAUUGGUAGCAACGAUUGUGUUUGGAUUUAGCGGAGUCUGCCAAGCAAAAUCAUGGGUGUGCUAAAUAUGUGUGCAUUUCACAACUCAAUUCAUAUGCAAUAUCACACAAAUCCACCUUGUGCUAUGCUCCUUGUAUCUUGAAAGUAUUAUUACUCUCCUCUGUCUUUGUAUCUUUUCUUGCUCCCUUACUGGAUUAUCUUAAUUACCACCAAUAUGAAGCUAGCUUCUGCCAUCGCAACCACAAUUUCUGAAUGAAUACAUUUGUGCAAUAAUGUCGGUAUUGGUUACAGGUGUGUGUGCAGUAGGAUUCAAUGUAUUUUUGUGAUGUGCUGGUAGUGGUUGGUGGUAUAUAUAUAGUCCUAAAUUCUUUGGUUUUUGUGCUAUAGAUGGAUCAACAAACCAAGGUUGUUACUUGUACUGCUGCUGCAUAUAUGUUGUUGUCAAUGAUGGCUAUGGUUAUUAUUGAGUCUAGAAAACGUAAGCGAGCUGCAAGGAGAGAAGGUAUUACUUAUGGACCUAUCGAUGAAAGAGAUAGGAUGAGACUUGAAUAUCUAAACAACAAAAUUUGGAAGGAUGAUAUAGUUUGUGUAAACAUGCUAAGACUCAAUAGAGCCAAGUUCUUUCGAUUUUGCAACCUAUUCAGGGAUCGUGGUUUGCUCGAAGAUACCAUCCAUUGUUCUGUUGAGCAGCAAGUGGCAAUGUUUCUAAAUACUGUGGGGCACAACCUUAGGAACAGAUUGGUUGGGACUAAUUUUGAUAGAUCUGGAGAAACGGUCAGCCGUUAUUUUAACAAGGUUCUUCGUGCUGUUGGUGAGCUACGAGGGGAAUUAAUUAGGCCACCGUCAUUGGAAACUCCUACCAAAAUUCUAGAAAACCACAGAUGGGAUCCUUACUUUAAGGAUUGUAUUGGAGCCAUCGAUGGUACACAUGUAAGAGCCUCUGUUCCUAAGGAUAUGGAGUUAUCCUUUCGUGGUAGGAAGUCAUAUGCCUCUCAAAAUGUAAUGGCUGCCGUAGAUUUUGAUCUCCGGUUCACCUAUGUAUUAGCUGGUUGGGAGGGGACAGCACAUGAUGCACUAGUAUUACGAGAUGCUUUGGAGCGUGAGAAUGGACUUCGAGUGCCACAAGGUAAUACACUAAUAGCAUAUCAAAUUCUCCAUAUGAAUCGUUGAUAUAAUAGAAAUAUGAUCAAAUUUCCAUCACAUUUUAGGGAAAUUCUACCUAGUUGAUGCCGGAUAUGGAGCAAAACCAGGAUUCUUGCCCCCUUUUCGUGGUGUUCGUUACCACUUGAAUGAGUGGAGGAAUAAUCCUGUACAAAAUGAGAAGGAGCUAUUCAACCUUAGGCACUCAUCUCUUCGUAUCACAGUAGAGCGUGCAUUUGGGUGUCUAAAGAGAAGAUUCAAAAUUCUAGAUGAUGCCACUCCUUUCUUUCCUUUCCCGACUCAAGUAGAUAUUGUUGUUGCUUGCUGCAUCAUUCACAAUUGGGUCAUACAAGAUGGAAUUGAUGAGUUCUUCAUGGAAGAAAAUAAUUUGCCAAGUUAUAACCAUGCUACAACAUACAGUGGACAAGCAAGUGAGCAUACCGAGAUGGUUAAUUUUAGGCAAAGCAUUGCUGAUCAGAUGUGGGCAGACCGUCAAAACAACAAUAUUAAUUAGUACCCACUAGUUUGUUGAUGUAUUUCAGUUUCGCAAGUAUUUUUCUUAUUUUAUUUGUGCUGUAUGGACAUAUUGUUGCUAUAUUUCAGUUGUACGGACAUGAUAAUAUUUUUCAUAUUGAUUAUUGAGGAGGAUGGAGUUGGGUAUAGUGUACUGACUUCUAUAGUGUACUGGUUUGUGACUUCUUGUUUUCAAAGAAAAAAACAUUCAGAAGUGUUGUGAUUGUGCUGUGCUUGGUGGUUCCUGUUUAUUAGCUCUUAGUUCUUCUUUGCAGCUUAUUGUGAUUGUGCUGUGCUUGGUGGUUAGUUUUUGUUAUGUCAAAAAACUGUAUGGCAAAAAAUUGGACCAGAAGUGUUGUGCUUGCUAGCUGCAUUUUAAUUGAUCUUUACAUUUUUAAGGUGCUGUAAAAUGUAAAAUUUCAGAGGUUACUGCUGCAUGCUUGUUAUUGUCAUUUGCAUUAUCAAAUCUUAAGGAUGUGUGAUAAGCUUAUUUACAAUUGUAUACCGUAUAUCGGUUGCUUUUCUACUAUAUAUCGUGAAGCUUUUACUUUUGACGUGUAUUGCUAAAUUGCUUGCCACUUAUAAUUUUUCUGAUGCUCCAGAGAAUAUAGCUAUGCUAACUGAAAUGUACCACAUGUGGCUUUGGUUAUUUCAGGAUUACGUACCACCAGCAUCCUUCUCAUGUGGCUAUUGUUUAUUGUGCAGUUGUAGUUCUCCUACUGAUCUUGUUUCUUUUUUCAUGAUCUUUUUUAUUGUGCCCUGGAAUCAUGGAAAUAUAUGCAGUGAGCCAAGUGGUUUGUGCUGAUUUGGAUAGUAUCAUUCAUGUGGGCUCUUUUGCAUGAACAGAUUGCAGUAAAAAGGCUCAAGAGUUGGACAACCAUGUCGAGGGACUGACAUACGAUACUUGCUGUUUUUUUUGUUCAUGGCAGGCAAUGGACGGCCAUGUCGAGGGACUUGGGAGAGGUACUAGUGUGGCUG